AGACGAAUGCAGCAGUAAUCCGUGUCGACACAACGGCACAUGUAUAGACCUUAUUGACGAAUACAUAUGCCAGUGUACAAAUGAAUCAAAAGGAGAUAACUGCGAAAAGUGGCUCAACCAUUGUUCCUCAGAUCCUUGUCUUCAUGGUGGUGAGUGCACUAAUGAAUAUGGUGGUUAUAGUUGUGACUGCCCUGAACCAUGGUAUGGAGAUAUAUGUGAAAACAAAGAAAUAAAUAGAACAGGGGUUUGCACCGAUCUAGAAUACACAGACUGCUCAUGUUUCAUCACCAAACUUAAUCCUUUAAAACGGAAAUCUUUUAAAAUGGAGAGUGGAAUAAUAGGAUUAUUGACUGGACUGCUUGGUACAAUCUUACUUUAUAUAAUAUGGAAUCACCAAGGAAAUAAGCUAACCAAAAUUAAUAAAAUACACAUUACAAAACCAAAUGAUGUCAUGACCGUAUCUGAUUUUGAAUCAGAAAUAUCAAGUAAUUACAAUGAGGAUGAAAACCAGAAAGAUUCAGAAAAAGAUGGAGACACAAACGGUCCUAAAGGAUGUGAUUGCUUUGUAGAUCACACUGGAUACGAUCAUUUUCAAAGAUUUGAUGAAAAAUUGAGAUAUAAAUACAAAUUCCAUAAGCACAACUGUCAAAAUAAGAAACAACUUUCAAAAUCAACUAGCCUCUUUAAGAU